rnacentral:rRNA from 1 species
UAAAGAAAGCGUAAUAGCUCACUGGUCGAGUCGGCCUGCGCGGAAGAUGUAACGGGGCUAAACCAUGCACCGAAGCUGCGGCAGCGACACUAUGUGUUGUUGGGUAGGGGAGCGUUCUGUAAGCCUGUGAAGGUGACCUGUGAGGGUUGCUGGAGGUAUCAGAAGUGCGAAUGCUGACAUAAGUAACGAUAAAGCGGGUGAAAAGCCCGCUCGCCGGAAGACCAAGGGUUCCUGUCCAACGUUAAUCGGGGCAGG